AAAAUUAGGAGAACCAGUUGAAGUUGCUCAGUUUCUAAAUGCAAAACCAGAAAGUGUGGUGACCUCAAGAACAAAUGAUGAUUUGAAUAGAGCUAUAGAAUGGUUACUUUUUCUUUUGGAUUUGAUGAAACUGAACCAACUGGCAAAAACAGAAUAUGGUCAAUGAGAUAAAUGUGUGAUAAAGCAGGAAGGAAAGAGCAGCUCACCAGUAACUGAUGUGAUAAAAAAUUAGCUUCUGAAUAGGGCAUGAAGCAGAUGAGCUUUUUACAGCAUCUAAAAAAACAGCAGUUGAGAUAGGAUUCAGGAAGGAUAUCAAGCUGCCCAGAAAAUUUGAUGAUUUAAAUGUUUUGACAAAGUCUUAACAUUCUCAUUUUGGACUUAGGUUGCUUUGUAUCGACAAGGAUGCCACCGGGAACAUCAAGCUCCUUGUUUUUCCUUAUUUUCCUUUUUUUCUAGUAAGUUUUUACUUCUUUCAAGACUUAUAAUUGAUUUAUUGUACAAAAAUGGAAAAAAAAAAUAAUCUGAUAAGUGAUUUCUUGCUUUCAAAGUAAAUUGACUACUUAAACAGAAGAGGUUGAGUUACACAUCUUUAAAAAUAUUGAGUUACAUGCGGUAAAAUUUCUCUAUUUUGCUUUCACUCUUUAGAUUAAAUAUCGUGGAAGAAAUUUAAGUAGGUUUUACGUCUACCCAAAACAGAAACACAGGAUUCGACCUUACUUUUUCAAUGUAGAAGUUAGAAUUCUAUCUCAUUAAAUUUGUUUACUUGAGGUACCCUAGAAAAAAUAUUGACAUUUUAAUUUUUUGUUUUAUAAUUGUUUACCAAUAGUUUGAUGUUUCUUUUAUUAAAAUUAAUGGUAAAAUGAGUUCUCUGCAAACGUUUUGGAUAGUGGCCAUCACUUUGAAAUUUGUCUCUACUUGACUGGGAAAUACCGUAAGUUAUACAAAAUUUAUAAUAAAAAAAAAUGGUAUGGUAAAAGUUGUUUAAAAAUUGCAAAACAGUGCGGAACACGGUCACCUUUAAGAAUAUACCAAGCAAAUGCCAUUUUGUAAACAUUACUAUUAGGCAUCUAAUACCUUAAUGAAACUUGUCAAAAUAUAAUUCUCAAUCAAAUUGACAAGUUUGUUACAUUGUCAUGUAGGGUCAAAAGUUAGGUCCCUGGGUCAAUUUAUAGGAACAUCUUGUAAACAUUCCAGUAUUUGUCUAUUUGAAAUCUAGAACAAGUGCAAAACUGGGUUACUCAUCUCCCUGCACAAAAUCAUG